CUUUUUUUUUUGUCAACUGAUGUUUUAUUAACCAAACUCUAUACAUGUAAGACCAGAAAAGAAAACAAUUAAGAUAUUACAACAAGGUCCAAGAAGGGCAUGCCCAUAAUGAAAGAAGAGAUGAGCCACUCAAUCCACGCGUCAAGACUCGAACUCGCGAGGACACAUGUAGCUUUUCGGAAAGCCCACCACCAAUCUUCACCGACAAAGAGGUCUCUCGACUGAUUCUGGCAAACCACCGGAAGUCAACUAAAGUGAUGGAAGAUCCGCUCGACAUAGCAGCAAAUCCAUGAAGACCAAUCGUCAACACCACCAUCUGGAUCCUCGUCUACGACAGAAGAAUCAACCACACACAAACAAUUUCCAAGAUCCAAUUAUCCUGCAUCUAAACUAUUCAUCUUUGAUGAUAAGAAGAAGCUUGAAGAUGAACAAGCCCUAACCAGGGGAGGAUAAAGCAAUCAGAUCCAAAUUGAAAGAGGGUUGAAACUUUGAAAAGAUAAAGAGACGAAGAUCAAACAAAAAGAAAAAAAACUCUAGUGACUGGAGAGCAAGCCGGCCGACGUCACCGAAGGACUAGUCAACGUCGCCAGAGUCAAAAGCUGGACGACAACUUCCGAGGAGAUGGAGCUUCGCCGGAGUCGGAUGCCGGUCGGAUGAAACCGAAACCGGGGAACAAAAAAGCGAAGAACAAGAUCGAUUUGGGAGAGCGAUUGUCAGUCGGGUUUGAAAAGGAAAAAUGAUUAAAUCAGAUACUUUCGGUUGUUGAGAACGUCAGACGUUGGAGAUUCAAAAUCAGUCUUACGGCGGAGCUUUCAAUUUCACGGAGCAAACGAAAACGAAGCAAGAUUUGGUUUGAAGUGGGUUACCAGUGCAUCGGCGAAUACGGUAAUGUGAAACAUAAUUUUUAGUUUCAUUUUUCAGUUUGUAUUUUUCUAUUUUGCUCCUUAAACUGUGACCUCUCCAUGGAUGUCUUUGUGUAUUCUGCUUGUGUUUGCCAACCAAAGUUUCUGGGUUCAUGGGUGGGGAAGAACGUGAUGUAAGAUGUCAAUUAUAAAAGUAUACUAUAUGAGAAACGUAAAUAGUAUAGAUACACAUGUGUAGUAGACAUAGUCAAUUAUUAGGUAUAAAAUGAUCUAUGUACAUAGUCAAUAGUAUAGAUACACGUGUGUAGUAGACAUAGUCACUUUCAGUUGCAGCGAAGACAUAUGCGGUUGCAAUCUUCUCAGACAUUCAACCCCGCCCAACUCCCGUAGUGACUUGUUGGGUGGAACCCUGAUGUUGUUUUUUAUCUACUCAUAUGCUACUUAUAGUGACAUAUUGGAUGGAACCGCUAAGUUGUUCUUUCUCUACUCAUAUGCUACCUAUAGUGACCCGUUGAAUAGAACCCCCUUUGUUAUUAUGUCUACUUUUCAAAUGUUUACUCGCAUGCCGUACCUAAUUUUCAGGAAUUUUAUGUACUUUAUGCAGUACAUAUGAACGAUUGUAUUGUCAUCUAGUAGUUGUAUCAUUUCUAUACUAUUAUCUUUUAUACUAUAAAAUAACUUUCAACUAUUUGCGCAAUAAUUAGUAAAUAUAUGGGUAUGUUAUAUUAAAUUAUGCCAAUUGAAAGCCCUUAUGGUUCAAAGUAGUUUCAUGUGUUUCUUCUACCAACAGAUAACACAUUCACCGACCUUAUAUCAUCAAUUUGUGUACUAUUUCGGAAGUUUUGUAUGGUUCAGUACAAAAUGAACGUGUUUCAAACUAUACUAUAUAUGUUGUAUAGUAGAGUAUAAUACAUUUUGUCAUAAGUUUUCCAACCCUUGGUUAAAUUUAUAUAUGUAUCCUUUAGAGGAGAAUCCCAAAAUUUUGAACACUUUAAGUUCACUAGUUUUAUCAUGUUUUUUUUUUAAUUAGUGUAGAACUUAUGUCAAACUGUACGAUACUAUAUUAUAUAACAUAUAGUAUAGUUUGAAACGGCAACCAUGCUUAAUAUACAAGCUACACAAAUGCGCACAUGUGGAGUAUUGUUGUAUAGUAGAGUAUAGUACAAUUUGUCACAAGUUUUCCUACCCUUGAGUAAAUGUAUAUUUGUUUCCUGCAGAGGAGAAUCCAGAAAUUUCGAGCAUUUUAAGUUCACUAGUUGUAUCAUGUUUUUCUUUUGCAAUUAAUGUAGAAUUUGUGUCAAACUGUACGAUACUGUAUUAUACAACAUAUAGUAUAGUCUGAGACGGAAAUCAUGCUUAAUAAUCGAGAGCGGCGUACUUGGUUGGAAUUGAACCCACAAAACUCGGGUACGAAUCCUCCCCGUGACCCAUUAACUAUAUUUUAACCCUUCAAAAAAUUCUUCUUGGAUUCGCCACUAGCUACAACUUGUCUGAACGCAUGUAUUGAGGAUCUGUCUUCUUUACCUAAACUAUACCAUAUAUCGUAUAGUAUAGUUUUGUUUUGGUCACCUCUUACCUAUAUAAUUGAACCUUAUUCAACCUCACAUAAGAACGUGGAAACAAAGCGAACUUGGAGGCCAAAAUGUAGACAUACUAAAUUGAAUAUAGGAUAGUCUCGUUUCUAUUAUGCAUAAUAGAACAUGUUCGUUUAAAAGCAAUUGAGCACAUGUGUUUUUAACUUUACUCCUCUUUGCCUUCACUCACACGCGCUUACAGGGUUAUUCCUAGCAAUAUUGGAUGUAACUAGUCCCGUCAAAGACUUUUUUCUGUAGAAUAACUAUAAGCUUAAUAUUAUGGU